rnacentral:rRNA from 1 species
GAUGAACGCUGGCGGCGUGCCUAAUACAUGCAAGUCGAGCGAACAGAUAAGGAGCUUGCUCCUUUGACGUUAGCGGCGGACGGGUGAGUAACACGUGGGUAACCUACCUAUAAGACUGGGAUAACUUCGGGAAACCGGAGCUAAUACCGGAUAACAUUUGGAACCGCAUGGUUCUAAAGUGAAAGAUGGUUUUGCUAUCACUUAUAGAUGGACCCGCGCCGUAUUAGCUAGUUGGUAAGGUAACGGCUUACCAAGGCGACGAUACGUAGCCGACCUGAGGGGGUGAUCGGCCACACUGGAACUGAGACACGGUCCAGACUCCUACGGGAGGCAGCAGUAGGGAAUCUUCCGCAAUGGGCGAAAGCCUGACGGAGCAACGCCGCGUGAGUGAUGAAGGGUUUCGGCUCGUAAAACUCUGUUAUUAGGGAAGAACAAACGUGUAAGUAACUGUGCACGUCUUGACGGUACCUAAUCAGAAAGCCACGGCUAACUACGUG